UCCACGCUGCCUCAGCAAAGGUUUAGUCCAAGUUUAUUGCUGAGAUUAAAAGACUGGAGAAUAUAAAUUGUAAAUGUGAUGACUUAAGAGCUCAUAAAUUCAGUAUACAGCUCCAUUCCAGAGAGCCAGUGAGCAGUGCAGCCAUGCUGCCUUGGGCUCACAUGCUGCCCUGUGCUCAAACCCAAGUUCUCUAAAGAGUCCUUCUGGAGGGGUAGUCACCCCUCCAUGGAAUCUAUUGAAGCAACAUUACCUGUUUGAGCUGCCAGAAUGGGAAAGAUGAACGUUUCUACUAAUCCACAGGUUCUUCUACCAGUUUUUUGCUUAUUCUACUUGUGUCCCCUUUCAUGGAGCUGGGUGACCUCUGAGAGCAGACGGAUGAGGAGGGCUCUGUGGAGGAGAGGAAUUAUGGAGAGUUAGAAUACAUUCUGCCUCUAGAAUUAGUCUGGUCCACACCAGGGAUGCAGAUACUGGGCUGUGAGCUGUAAUGGAAUCAGAGAGACACGAGCUCCGACGGCUGGCAUUGGUGCACAGCACGCGGGGACCGGCGCCGGCGCACACCUGGGCGCAGUGACACCAACAUGAGCUGCCAAAACACCAAACACCAACAGCCAGUCCUGCCCAGAAGAGCGGAACGUGGGGACUCACCAUCUCCUCCCCAUAGCUUGGCACUCUGAGGUUAGUGAGAGUGUUCUCAGAGCAAACCCCAUCCUACACGAGCCGUUGCUGGUGAGACCCACCUGCGUGCACUGUGCUACAGAGCAGGAUCAGCACCGCCAUCCAGACUCUGCCUGUGCCUGAUGCACAAAACCAUGUGUUUGAGGAAGUACUUCUGGAGUUUGAAAAGCAUUGCUGGGGUUUGAGCUGGCUGCGGGUGGAAGGACUGAGCCUGGAAGGAAACCCCGUGUGAAAUCCCCAGCCUGCUUUGCAGAUGCUGGGCUGGUUUUAGGCAGAUGUCUGAAACACUCCUGGUGGGCUCGGUGCCUCGCUGCAGUAAAUAUAGGGGGGAGCUGGAAGAGGUGGGGAGAGCCCUGAUAUCUUCCAGGAGCUGCCUCAGGAGAGAGACUGGACCAGCCUGAAGAGCCAAAGUCCAGCAGCACAGCUGGGGACACAAACAUCCCACACACAGGACUAUUUUGAUGGAGCUGGAGAAGUGAUGACACAAAUAGCUGAUGACACAAAUAAUUCUGCUGGCAGAGCAGCAGAGGUGGCAACCUCUGGAUGGGAUCCAUGAGCAGCAGCUGCAGACAGGCACCUCUUCAUGGAGCUGGAGCAGGAUGUACAGUGCAGGGCUCCUGUCACCAUUCCUCCAGUAUCACCAGGAAACCUGUGACCCAGAUGAGCCACAGCCUCCUUCCUGAGCACUAGAAUACCUUUGCUGAGCUCCUGGGUGGAAAAAAAAGGAGGAUUUACCUGAGUCCAACCCAUCUGCACGUGCUGAAAACAGAGAGGAUCAGCGAAACUGGAACUGUUCAGAACCACACAUUACUUCCAUGUGCCGUGAACGGAGCUCUCAGGCUCAUCAGAGGAAGACCAGAAUGAACUCCACCACCGUGGCCUCACCUUGCUGGCAUUGCAGUUUUACAUACUCGGGUUGAAAGUGCAAAGAGGCAAUAGGGAGAUAGAGAGCGCUGACUUCACCCUGCAAUGCACAACACAACACAGGGCAGGUGUCAGGUGUUGCACAGAGCUUCAUGGCACAUCUCCACACCCAGCUCAGAUGUGUCCUUGUGGAUGAGAGUCUCCAGUUGAACCCUACCUCAGUUAUGGAGGUCCCAGGCUGCAUGGUUUUUGCCUCAUAAGGACUCCAUCUUCCUCACACCCAGGUGGAGUUCAGGACAACCUCAGUGUUCAAUUUGUCCCUUCCACCCUUCCACUUUGUGGAUUCCCGUGUUGUCUUCUUUCACCCAAUACCUUUUGUUAUACAGAAAAUGUGCAAAGUAAAAAUUGUCUUGUUUUGCUUUGUGUAAGGUUUAUUUUUGACCCAGCAGUGCCCCAAAAUUAGAAGAGCUGAAUGUGCUCUAUCAAGCAGAUCUCCAACAUCGUUGCCAAAACUGCCUUUAGAGUUUGGGCCUUUAUAACUUUC